rnacentral:rRNA from 1 species
CAUUUCCUACGGGGCGCAGCAGUGGGGAAUAUUGCACAAUGGGGGAAACCCUGAUGCAGCGACGCCGCGUGAGUGAAGAAGUAUUUCGGUAUGUAAAGCUCUAUCAGCAGGGAAGAAAAAAGACGGUAUCUGACUAAGAAGCCCCGGCUAACUACGUGCCAGCAGCCGCGGUAAUACGUAGGGGGCAAGCGUUAUCCGGAUUUACUGGGUGUAAAGGGAGCGUAGGCGGCGAUGCAAGUCAGAAGUGAAAGCCCGGGGCUCAACUCCGGGACUGCUUUUGAAACUGUAUGGCUA